AGAGUUUGAUCCUGGCUCAGAUUGAACGCUGGCGGCAUGCCUUACACAUGCAAGUCGAACGGUAGAGGGGCAACCCUUGAGAGUGGCGAACGGGUGAGUAAUAUAUCGGAACGUGCCCAGUCGUGGGGGAUAACGCAGCGAAAGCUGCGCUAAUACCGCAUACGAUCUAUGGAUGAAAGCGGGGGAUCGCAAGACCUCGCGCGAUUGGAGCGGCCGAUAUCAGAUUAGGUAGUUGGUGGGGUAAAAGCCCACCAAGCCGACGAUCUGUAGCUGGUCUGAGAGGACGACCAGCCACACUGGGACUGAGACACGGCCCAGACUCCUACGGGAGGCAGCAGUGGGGAAUUUUGGACAAUGGGCGCAAGCCUGAUCCAGCAAUGCCGCGUGCAGGACGAAGGCCUUCGGGUUGUAAACUGCUUUUGUACGGAGCGAAACGGUCUGGGUUAAUACCCUAGGCUAAUGACGGUACCGUAAGAAUAAGCACCGGCUAACUACGUGCCAGCCGCCGCGGUAAUAC
rnacentral:rRNA from 1 species